rnacentral:rRNA from 1 species
AUAAUACUCCAUAGAUUAGAGACACUGGAAUGUUCUUUAGUCGAAAGUUCUGGCGCCUUAGGAUGGAUCUGCGGUCGAUUAGGUUGUUGUUGGGGUAACGGCCCAACAAGCCUGUAAUCGAUACGGGUUGUGGGAGCAAGAGCCCGGAGAUGGAAUCUGAGACACGAUUCCAGGCCCUACGGGGCGCAGCAGGCGCGAAAACUUUACAAUGCAGGAAACUGUGAUAAGGGAACUCCGAGUGCCCGUAUACGCGGGCUGUCCAGGUGUUUAAAAAUCAUCUGAAGAAAGGGCCGGGCAAGACCGGUGCCAGCCGCCGCGGUAAUACCGGCGGCUCGAGUGGUGGCCACUAUUAUUGGGCUUAAAGCGUCCGUAGCUGGACCGAUGAGUCUCUUGGGAAAUCCGCCGGCUCAACCGGCGGGCGUCUAAGGGAUACUGUUAGUCUAGGGACCGGGAGAGGUGAGAGGUACUCCGGGGGUAGGAGUGAAAUCCUGUAAUCCCCGGGGGACCACCGAUGGCGAAGGCAUCUCACCAGAACGGCUCCGACAGUGAGGGACGAAAGCUGGGGGAGCGAACCGGAUAAGAUACCCGGGUAGUCCCAGCCGUAAACUAUGCGCGUUAUGUGU